UACGGAGGGAGCUAGCGUUAUUCGGAAUUACUGGGCGUAAAGCGCACGUAGGCGGCUUUGUAAGUAAGAGGUGAAAGCCCAGAGCUCAACUCUGGAAUUGCCUUUUAGACUGCAUCGCUUGAAUCAUGGAGAGGUCAGUGGAAUUCCGAGUGUAGAGGUGAAAUUCGUAGAUAUUGGAAGAACACCAGUGGCGAAGGCGGCUGACUGGACAUGUAUUGACGCUGAGGUGCGAAAGCGUGGGGAGCAAACAGG
rnacentral:rRNA from 1 species